GCUUAAUACAUGCAAGUCGAACGGGAUGCAGCAAUGUGUCUAGUGGCGACCGGGUGCGUAACACGUAGCUGACCUGCCCCUCGGCGGGGGACAACAGUACGAAAGUGCUGCUAAUACCGCAUACCUUGGGAGCGUUUAGAAGGCUCUCAAGAAACUUUAGGGGCCGAGGGAGGGGGCUGCGGCCCAUCAGGUAGUUGGGGAGGUAACGGCUCCCCAAGCCAACGACGGGUCGGGGGCCUGAGAGGGUGGCCCCCCACACUGGGACUGACAGACGGCCCAGACUCCUACGGGAGGCAGCAGUAAGGGAUAUUGCGCAAUGGGCGAAAGCCUGACGCAGCAACGCCGCGUGCAGGAUGACGGCCUUCGGGUCGUAAACUGCUUUGGCGCGGGACGAGGAAGGACGGUACCGCGCGAACAAGUCACGGCUAACUACGUGCCAGCAGCCGCGGUAAAACGUAGGUGGCAAGCGUUAUCCGGAUUUACUGGGCGUAAAGGGUGUGCAGGCGGCUGCCCAAGUGGUGUAUGAAAUCGCUCGGCUCAACCGGGCGCGGGUAUGCCAGACUGGGUGGCUCGAGGCUGACAGAGGGUGGUGGAAUUCCGGGUGUAGUGGUGAAAUGCGUAGAGAUCCGGAGGAACCCCAGAGGCGAAGGCGGCCACCUGGGUCAGCCCUGACGCUCAGACACGACAGCAUGGGGAGCGAACGGGAUUAGAAACCCCGGUAGUCCAUGCCGUAAACGAUGCCAACUAGGCGCUGGCGGUCUCAACCCCGUCGGUGCCGCAGAUAACUCGCUAAGUUGGCCGCCUGGGGAGUACGGCCGCAAGGCUAAAACUCAAAGGAAUUGACGGGGGCCCGCACAAGCAGCGGAGCGUGUGGUUUAAUUCGAGGCUACACGAAGAACCUUACCUGGGUUUGACAUGACGCUAGUAGCGACCUGAAAGGGAAGCGACCGCAAGGCGGCGUCACUGGUGCUGCAUGGCUGUCGUCAGCUCGUGCCGUGAGGUGUUAGGUUAAGUCCUGUAACGAGCGCAACCCCCAGGUUCAGUUACAGGUUGUCUGAACCGACUGCCCGUGACAAGCGGGAGGAAGGUGGGGAUGACGUCAAGUCAGCAUGGCCUGUAUAUCCAGGGCUACACACACGCUACAAUGGCCGGUACAAUGGGUCGCCAAGCCGCAAGGCGGAGCCAAUCCAGCUAAAGCCGGUCUCAGUUCGGAUUGUGGGCUGCAACCCGCCCGCAUGAAGUCGGAGUUGCUAGUAACCGCCGGUCAGCCAUACGGCGGUGAAUACGUUCCCGGGCCUUGCACACACCGCCCGUCACA
rnacentral:rRNA from 1 species